rnacentral:rRNA from 1 species
UACGUAGGGUGCAAGCGUUGUCCGGAAUUAUUGGGCGUAAAGAGCUCGUAGGCGGUCUGUCGCGUCUGGUGUGAAAACUCAAGGCUUAACCUUGGGCCUGCAUCGGGUACGGGCAGACUAGAGUGCGGUAGGGGAGACUGUAAUUCCUGGUGUAGCGGUGAAAUGCGCAGAUAUCAGGAGGAACACCGGUGGCGAAGGCGGGUCUCUGGGCCGAUACUGACGCUGAGGAGCGAAAGCGUGGGGAGCGAACAGG